GGGAAGAGCUCAAAUUUGAAAUCUGGCGUCCUCAGGGCGUCCGAGUUGUAAUCUAUAGAGGCGUUUUCCGUGCCGGACCGUGUCCAAGUUCCUUGGAACAGGAUAUCAAAGAGGGUGACAAUCCCGUACUUGACACGACGACCGGUGCUCUGUGAUACGUCUUCUACGAGUCGAGUUGUUUGGGAAUGCAGCUCAAAAUGGGUGGUGAGUUCCAUCUAAAGCUAAAUAUUGGCGAGAGACCGAUAGCGAACAAGUACCGUGAGGGAAAGAUGAAAAGCACUUUGGAAAGAGAGUUAAACAGUACGUGAAAUUGUUGAAAGGGAAACGAUUGAAGUCAGUCGUGACCGAGAGGCUCAGCCGGUUCUGCCGGUGUAUUCCCCUCGGUCGGGUCAACAUCAGUUUUGUCCGGUGGAUAAGGGCGGUAGGAAGGUGGCACCCUCGGGUGUGUUAUAGCCUGCCGUCGCAUACAUCGGGUGAGACUGAGGAACGCAGCUCGCCUUUAUGGCCGGGGUUCGCCCACGUCCGAGCUUAGGAUGUUGACAUAAUGGCUUUAAACGACCCGUCUUGAAACACGGACC
rnacentral:rRNA from 1 species